GUGCUUGCCUGGGCAGCACAUGUACUAAGAUUGGAACAAUACAGAGAAGAUUAGCAUGGCCCCUAUACAAAGAUGACACAAAAAUUUGUGAAAGCGUCUCAUAUUUUU
ensembl:snRNA U6 U6 spliceosomal RNA